UGAAAAAGGAAAUUUUUGUUUUCUAACCAUUCUAUAAUCAGCCAAAGUCAAUUGAUAAAAAAAAAUCGUUUUGAAUUUCAUCGUUUUUG